AGGGUUCGAUUCUGGCUCAGGAUGAACGCUGGCGGCGUGCUUAACACAUGCAAGUCGAACGGACCUUCGGGUCAGUGGCGGACGGGUGAGUAACGCGUGGGAACCUGCCCUCAGGAGGGGGAUAACGGCUGGAAACGGCCGCUAAUACCCCAUAUGCCGAGAGGUGAAAUGAAUUUCGCCUGAGGAUGGGCCCGCGUCUGAUUAGCUAGUUGGUGGGGUAAGGGCCUACCAAGGCGACGAUCAGUAGCUGGUCUGAGAGGAUGAUCAGCCACACUGGGACUGAGACACGGCCCAGACUCCUACGGGAGGCAGCAGUGGGGAAUUUUCCGCAAUGGGCGAAAGCCUGACGGAGCAACGCCGCGUGAGGGAUGAAGGCCUCUGGGCUGUAAACCUCUUUUCUCAAGGAAGAAGAACUGACGGUACUUGAGGAAUAAGCCACGGCUAAUUCCGUGCCAGCCGCCGC
rnacentral:rRNA from 1 species